rnacentral:rRNA from 1 species
CGCAAUGGGCGAAAGCCUGACGGAGCAAUACCGCGUGAGGGAUGAAAGCCUGUGGGUUGUAAACCUCUUUUCUCAAGGAAAAAAUUUUGACGGUACUUGAGGAAUAAGCAUCGGCUAACUCUGUGCCAGCAGCCGCGGUAAUACAGAGGAUGCAAGCGUUAUCCGGAAUCACUGGGCAUAAAGCGUCUGUAGGUUGCUUAGCAAGUCUGCUGUUAAAGAUCAGGGCCUAACCCUGGGAAAGCAGUGGAAACUAGUAGGCUUGAGUGUGGUAGAGGUAGAGGGAAUUCCUGGUGUAGCGGUGAAAUGCGUAGAUAUUAGGAAGAACACCAAUGGCGAAAGCACUCUACUGGGCCACACUUGUCUUUAAGAGACGACAGCUA